AGGCCUCUGUGAAGCCUGAACUGCAGUAGGGCCCAAGCCAGCCAGGAAGGAGGAGGCAGCCAGAGAGGCCUCCACUGUUCUCUGCAGCAGAAGACCCCUGCGGAACCCAGCAUUUGCCAGGUUAUGGGUGCAAAUCCCUUGGACAUCAGUAGCAACUUUGCAUGUAAAAUGGUCAGGGAGAUUCCAGAAAUUGUUUUUCAAGUUUAGAAGAUAGCUGAUAUAACCAGAUUCACAAGGCUAAUGUCCUGGAGGAGACAAACAGCCAUACAUCGAGAACUAAUACAAAAGGGAUAAUAAUUAGAAAAUCGUAUAACCUUUUUAUGUGGAAGGCUGAGGUGAGGGGAAAAAAACAAGAACAAUGCUCUUUAAAAGAGAUAUCUACCUAGAUAAGAUAGAUAUAAGGUAUAUAUAAGGAACAGAUUUACUACCUGUAUUUUGUUCUCUGAUACUAGGUUUGUUCUAGUUUGAAAUGUGCGUUAUGCACCAUUAUGCACAUUUUGGUCUAGGUUGAAAUGCUUGUUAAGCACAGUAUUCCCCACAGAUGGUUCUAGAAGGUUCUAAGAACUGGACAACUUUCAAAAGAUUUAAGUAGAAUCAACAUUUCCCUGAAGUGAAGAAAAAACAUCCCUAUAGAUGGAAACACCCAUUUGAGCUUGUCUGAUGUUUGCCUGUCAGAUUUAUCCUCUUAGCAUCUGUUCUGAAAAUGAAAAUAGAAAAAGGAGAUGAUAUAGGGUGGGAUGCAAAUGUUAAAAAAAAGAAGAAGAUGGACAGAACAUGACUUUUAAAAAUUAAUCUCCAGUCCUGUUGAUUUGAAACUAAUAUUUAUACCUCACAGACAGUUUUAAUAUUGAGAAGAUGAACAUCUUGGUUGGUUUUAAUAUUAAUAUGAAUAAGCUAAUGAGUAGAAAUGAAUUAUUUUGUCUUUUGGUACAAAUGCUGACUUCUUACAAUGGACAGGUUGGGAGCCUGUGAGGACUCAGGACAAGGGUGUGGAGUUAGUCAUGCAUUGCCCUUGGAAUAAAAAUGGGGGGGGGAUGAUAACUUGUGGUAAAGGCAGAACCGUGGAAAUAGUCCCAAAUCUGACUAGUGCUAUGUUGGGAGAGAGAUUUAAACACCGUUCCCACAUAACACCGAACCUGAGUGCUAUAGCAAACUACUGCUUUGUCCCCCAUCUUAAUGGUAAAAGCUUUAACUCAGUGCCACAGAGAGUUGGGAGCUUGAUGAGCAUUACUGUGGGAGAGGAGAGGUUACUGCCUACACCUUUUAGGAGAGAUCUUCCCCCCUCCCCUAAUUGAAAUAAGGUAUUGAAGAGGUCCGUUCCCCUCCUUUUCACCACCACCAGGACAUUCAAGGAGAGAUACAAACUGGAUAUGAGGUAUUGUAUGACUUCCAAGAGAAGCCUUGGAUUUAAUCUGAUCCACAGCUUGGCACUAUAGAAUGCAUUGCUGGACCACUGAUUAUUUGUAUCCUCUCUAAUAAAACGCUUGGUGUCCGUCCGUGGACGGACACCAAGCGUGUGUUCGUGCCUCCCUUAGCGGUUCUGGGCAUGCCUGGAGCGCAUGCCCAGAACAGGCCGUGGCAGAAACGAAGGCAGGGAACAGGCGGCCAUGUUGGGCAGCCAGAAGUGGCCACCCCGAAGAAGCCAGUGAAGCCCGGCCGAGGUGGCAGCAGAGCUACCGCUGAGGCCUGGGGGCGCCAACACGGACGGGCACCUGGGAGACCUUGGGGCACUUGCCACAGCCGAUAACUGCCCUCCCGCCCUCCCAGCUGCCCGACUUCCCGUUCCCCGCACCCCCCCAAGGAUUAAGGGCCUCCGUGGCUGCCGCCACAGCCGAUAACCGCCCUCCCGCCCUCCCAGCUGCCCAACUUCCCCUAUCCCGCACUCCCCCCAAAGGAUUAAGGGCCUCCGCGGCCACCGCCGCAGCCAAAAACCGCCCUCCCAGCUGCCCGAGCCCUCCUCACCCGAGUCAGCCCGCAGCAGCCGGGCGAAGUGAAAGCAUGUUUUCCAAAGGUGAAGAGAGGAGCUCGCGAACAGAGCUCCUCUCUGUGCUAAGCCUCUUCCCGAACUGGUGCUUGGGCGGGGAAGGGGAAAUCGGGCAGCUGGGAGGGCGGGAGGGCGAAUUUGGGCCCCUUCCCUUCCUAGCGCCCGUUAUUCAACGGGCUAAAAUUUACUUGUUGCUUUAUAAAGCAUACUGUUUAAGUGUCCAUGAGGCCCAUAAGCAAGCAAUAUAUUUCCCUAAGAAUUGCUUAGACACUGAUGAUGUCCCAUAUUUCAAUCAUCUCCACUGUGACUCUCAUAUUUCAAGAAUUAUAAUUUAGACCCACUGGCAUUGUUGCUUCCCCCUGUCUGCUCUGUUUUUCAUAUGGUUCACAUUCUAAUGGCUUAACCUGUCAAACACUGAUUAUUUUACAUUCUAAAUACCCAUCUAUGCUACUUUAGUUAUUUACAAUCAAAGGGAGAGUUGUAAAUAUCAGUCUUCCUUGCCGUUAUAUAUAAAAUAUUGCUUCACCCCCUAUGACUAAUCAUCAGUGCAUUGCUACCACUAUCUGCUAGCAAAUAUUAUCUCAGCAACUAAAAGAAUAAUUGGUAGACAUCCAGACUAAUUUUCCAUUGACAUCUCAGGGUUUUUCCUUGCAUAAGGAGGAAGGAAUGAUGUUCAGCCACAUCCCUUUCUAUUUGCUCUUCCUUGUCAAUUUAAGUUACAGCAUAGCCAAAUUCUUCAGCCAGAUUUUUCUUUGUCAAGCUGCUUCAGUGUUUUGGAAUUGAAGAAUUUUCAGGGAUUUCAUCAUCACACAGUUUUUGUGUGUGGUGUAGUCUGUCCAUGGGAAGGUCUCCCCAACAGACUGAAGAAUCUGGUGCUGGUGAAAUCAAACAAACUUAUCCACUUCACACUUUAUAGUGUUUACUGCUGAAAGCACUCUUUUAUAUGCAUCAAAAACGUGUGCUAUUUAAAGCACAAAUCAUCCCAUUGAUUACAGAAUUAAUUGCUUUUUGUCUUAAUGCACUCAAGGUUAUGGCAUUAAAAUUGUAGAUGUGAAACUCAUGUUUUUAUGUUAGUUAUAAUAGUGUGUUACAUGAAAAAUUGAAUUUGCAAAAGAUCACUUGCACACUGAACUUGUGAUCUGAUCUUAAAUUUGAUUUUCUUGUUGUUAUUGAUAGCUUGAACCCAAAGAGAUCAUUGCAUGAGUGACGCACUCUCCUACUAAAUUUCUGCUUGCAAAUCUGUGGAUUUAAUCCAUUAUUGUUGUUGUUUUUCAUACUUCUACAAUCUACAUCUGUACAUAUACAUGGUACAUAAAUUUGGGCUGUGUAAAAUUCUGGUAAUAAA